rnacentral:rRNA from 1 species
AUUGGGCGUAAAGAGCUCGUAGGCGGUUUGUCGCGUCUGCUGUGAAAACCCGAGGCUCAACCUCGGGCCUGCAGUGGGUACGGGCAGACUAGAGUGCGGUAGGGGAGAUUGGAAUUCCUGGUGUAGCGGUGGAAUGCGCAGAUAUCAGGAGGAACACCGAUGGCGAAGGCAGAUCUCUGGGCCGUAACUGACGCUGAGGAGCGAAAGGGUGGGGAGCAAACAGGCUUAGAUACCCUGGUAGUCCACCCCGUAAACGUUGGGAACUAGUUGUGGGGUCCAUUCCACGGAUUCCGUGACGCAGCUAACGCAUUAAGUUCCCCGCCUGGGGAGUACGGCCGCAAGGCUAAAACUCAAAGGAAUUGACGGGGACCCGCACAAGCGGCGGAGCAUGCGGAUUAAUUCGAUGCAACGCGAAGAACCUUACCAAGGCUUGACAUAUACGAGAACGCCGCAGAAAUGUGGAACUCUUUGGACACUCGUAAACAGGUGGCGCAUGGUUGUCGUCAGCUCGUGUCGUGAGAUGUUGGGUUAAGUCCCGCAACGAGCGCAACCCUCGUUCUAUGUUGCCAGCACGUAAUGGUGGGAACUCAUGGGAUACUGCCGGGGUCAACUCGGAGGAAGGUGGGGAUGACGUCAAAUCAUCAUGCCCCUUAUGUCUUGGGCUUCACGCAUGCUACAAUGGCCGGUACAAAGGGCUGCAAUACCGUAAGGUGGAGCGAAUCCCAAAAAGCCGGUCCCAGUUCGGAUUGAGGUC